UACGUAGGGGGCAAGCGUUGUCCGGAUUCAUUGGGCGUAAAGAGCGUGUAGGCGGCCAGGUAGGUCGGUUGUGAAAACUCGAGGCUCAACCUCGAGAUGUCGGCGGAAACCAUCUGGCUAGAGUCCGGAAGAGGAGAGUGGAAUUCCUGGUGUAGCGGUGAAAUGCGCAGAUAUCAGGAAGAACACCUAUGGCGAAGGCAGCUCUCUGGGACGGUACUGACGCUGAGACGCGAAAGCGUGGGGAGCGAACAGG
rnacentral:rRNA from 1 species